rnacentral:rRNA from 1 species
AUUGAACGCUGGCGGCAGGCCUAACACAUGCAAGUCGAGCGGCAGCGGGACCUUCGGGUUGCCGGCGAGCGGCGGACGGGUGAGUAAUGCCUAGGAAUCUGCCUGUUAGGGGGGGAUAACGCGGGGAAACUCGCGCUAAUACCGCAUACGUCCUACGGGAGAAAGCGGGGGCUCUUCGGACCUCUCGCUAACAGAUGAGCCUAGGUCGGAUUAGCUAGUUGGUGGGGUAAUGGCCGACCAAGGCGACGAUCCGUAACUGGGCUGAGAGGAUGAUCAGUCACACUGGAACUGAGACACGGUCCAGACUCCUACGGGAGGCAGCAGUGGGGAAUAUUGGACAAUGGGCGAAAGCCUGAUCCAGCCAUGCCGCGUGUGUGAAGAAGGUCUUCGGAUUGUAAAGCACUUUAAGUCGGGAGGAAGGGCUGUAGGCUAAUACCUUGCAGUUUUGACGUUACCGACAGAAUAAGCACCGGCUAACUUCGUGCCAGCCGCCGCGGUAA